rnacentral:rRNA from 1 species
GUACGGCGGAACACGAGAAAUUCCGUCGGAAUCCGCGGGGACCAUCCCGCAAGGCUAAAUACUCCCUAGUGACCGAUAGUGAACCAGUACCGUGAGGGAAAGGUGAAAAGCACCCCGGAAGGGGAGUGAAAUAGAUCCUGAAACCGUGUGCCUACAACAAGUCAAAGCUCGUUAAUGAGUGAUGGCGUGCCUUUUGUAGAAUGAACCGGCGAGUUACGAUUGCAUGCGAGGUUAAGUCGAAGAGACGGAGCCGCAGCGAAAGCGAGUCUGAAUAGGGCGAAUGAGUAUGUAGUCGUAGACCCGAAACCAUGUGAUCUACCCAUGUCCAGGUUGAAGGUGCGGUAAAACGCACUGGAGGACCGAACCCACGUACGUUGAAAAGUGCGGGGAUGAGGUGUGGGUAGCGGAGAAAUUCCAAACGAACUUGGAGAUAGCUGGUUCUCUCCGAAAUAGCUUUAGGGCUAGCCUCGGAAUUGAGAAUGAUGGAGGUAGAGCACUGUUUGGACUAGGGGCCCAUCUCGGGUUACCGAAUUCAGAUAAACUCCGAAUGCCAUUCAUUUAUAUCCGGGAGUCAGACUGCGAGUGAUAAGAUCCGUAGUCGAAAGGGAAACAGCCCAGACCACCAGCUAAGGUCCCAAAAUAUAUGUUAAGUGGAAAAGGAUGUGGGGUUGCACAGACAACUAGGAUGUUGGCUUAGAAGCAGCCACCAUUUAAAGAGUGCGUAAUAGCUCACUAGUCGAGUGACCCUGCGCCGAAAAUGUACCGGGGCUAAACAUAUUACCGAAGCUGUGGACUACACCAUUAGGUGUAGUGGUAGGAGAGCGUUCUAAGGGCGUUGAAGGUCGAUCGUGAGGACGGCUGGAGCGCUUAGAAGUGAGAAUGCCGGUAUGAGUAGCGAAAGACAGGUGAGAAUCCUGUCCACCGUAUGACUAAGGUUUCCUGGGGAAGGCUCGUCCGCCCAGGGUUAGUCGGGACCUAAGCCGAGGCCGAUAGGCGUAGGCGAUGGACAACAGGUUGAUAUUCCUGUACCAGUUGUUUUUGUUUGAGCAAUGGAGGGACGCAGUAGGCUAAGGAAUGCAUGCGAUUGGAAGUGCAUGUCCAAGCAAUGAGUCUUGAGUAGAGUUAAAUGCUUUACUCUUUAAGGACAAGUUGUGACGGGGAGCGAAAUAAUAGUAGCGAAGUUCCUGAUGUCACACUGCCAAGAAAAGCUUCUAGUGAGAAAACAACUGCCCGUACCGUAAACCGACACAGGUAGUCGAGGAGAGUAUCCUAAGGUGAGCGAGCGAACUCUCGUUAAGGAACUC